CAUCGCCGAUGUAGUUUUCAGUCAGAACACUUUUCACACUGCAUGAUUUUGAAUCGCUGACAGGUCCAGAUAUUUAGCAUGCCAAAUAUCUCAUGGGCAUCAGCGACUUAUCGGCGAUUCUUUCAGAUCGCAUCUUUGCUCAUUCACACUGCGUGAUUGUUACGCACGUGAACGAGCACCGAUUUGCAUGUGAUUUCGGGCAUUUGUCGGCAAUUUCUCAAAACCUGUCGGUGAGCCAAAAACUGGGCUAAAAUCGUGCAGUCUGAACGCGGCUUUAGUUAGUUAGAUAUAGUGCCAAAUUCACAUCGAUCUGUUUUGGAUAAAACUGAACGUCCUUGUAUCUCCACUCACUGGGUAUUUUACAGAAAUAUUCCCACAGGCAUGUUUUUACAAUGUGCCUGGGUUGAAAAAAAAAUCAUAUUUGGGUGCACUCUGUGGGUCAGGAUUUGACACAAAUGGAAAACCAUCAUCGUGAUGCCAAUUCCACAGAUAUUUAGCACCGUUUGUUAUUGAGUGUGAGCCACAUCAGCAUUUCUGUCCCUCACUUGGUCUGUUCAGAACAGGAUACAUGUAAUACAGGUGUUUGACUGUGUGCAUUAGAUGUCCCUGAACGUCACAGAUGAAUCAGGAAGGCAUUGCGGAAACGUGUUCAUCAAUAGAAGGGAAGUGUGUGGCAUGUAGAAUAACAAGAGCGCACGAGGCCAAAUAGGAUAGUCUAAUCGUGCUCAUUCUAAAGGGACAAAUAUAUCUUAUUUCAGGAACAAUGCUAAAGUGUGGUCACGCCUGGAUGACACACAGGUCAAUUGUUUCAUUCCAGGCAAGAAUUACCUGGUUUCCAAAGGAAAAGCAUCCUAUGUGCUGCUCUGGGAAAGUGAUACAUUCAGCCAAGUGCCACGAUCACCACCCAGGUCGGUCUGGAGACAACAGUGCAGGCGGCACGGGGGGAUUCCAGCAGCAUCAGCCCAGGCUAUUCUUAUCAGAUAUAUUUCAGACACAAAAGGAAAGGGCGGUAUGUUAAGAGCAUUGUCUUUGUCACAUGCCCAAGAAAGAAACUUGCCCAUCAGAAAUAGCAUCUCUUCAGGAAAGGGAAACAAAUACUUUGCUUCCGCUUUGGAUUGAGCUAGACUGUACAGACAGCCAUUAAGAAUGAAUUGGAUCUGCUGAUGAUGUGGUUGAUUUGCAACUUUUUUUAUUUAAUUUUUUUCAAUUCACUAAAAGAAGUAAAGAAAUCUUUAGAAUUUUAAUAUUUUUAACUUGUAGGUCAGUUCUGAUGUUUCAGUUGUAGAUGAUUCAGCAAGCGUCUAUAAUCUGGUGUACUUUUAUUGAAACUCUACAGUAUUACUCCACCACUGUGAUCCAGAAGCUUUUAUUUUCUAACACUUUACACUAUCACUGUAAAAAAUUACUGAUGCAAAAAGUUGUACAAAUGAGGAAAUACAUGUUGGCUCAACAUAAUGGUUGUGUCAAAAAAGAAAAAUAUGUUUGGUCAAUGAUUGCAUGAUUUCCAUGAUUGUACUACAAAAUCUUCAUCAAGAGAAAAUAAAUAAUUAUGUUGAGAUAACUUUUAACGUUGCACAAAAAAUAUUAUGUUGGCCGAGCAAGAGAGAACGGCGUCAAUCGUCUGAGCAUGCGCAAAGGAGUUCUACCAGGUGCAGGCAGCAGGCUGGAGUCACGACAUUGCAUUGUCAGCAUUCCUGACAUCGUUGGACAAUCACACCCAGGGGUUGCUAAAGAUGUACAGAGCCAAAAGCAAGACUGGGAAGGUGGAACAACUUGGAUGAACUUCUGGAACAACUGGAUGCCCAGCAGAAGAAAGAAAUUCAUACAGGUUUGAAACAACAUGAGGGAAACUAUUUCAUGAAGUUGGUUGAAAUGACGCCCAAUGGUGAAAAGAACCACAGAUCUAACUACUCAUUGAAGGUCUGCUGUUCUUAGUGGUCUUCCCCUGUACUUGAGAGAGCCAGCUUCAAUUUCAAAGACUAUUAAGGAUACUGAGGCACUGGGGCCACACACAAAGGCCAUGAAAAUGAAGUGACUGACAGUUCUACCAACUCAGGACCUUAUCCCACAGUGGUCAAUGUGGCUGUAGUAGUGGAGGAGGAAGUUGUCAUGGACAAUCUGGGAGACUUCACAAAUUCCCUCAUGAUGUUUGUUUCGGCACUGGUUGAAUACUUGUGUAAUAUUUUACUUGAGCCUAACAGGCAAAUUCAUAUGUAUUUAAAUAAAUAAAUAAAAUGUUUUUUUU